UGUUUUGGCGGCUGUACAUGGGGCACGUUCGCGUGCGCCGGAACUUGCAUAGUCCGCCGGUCUGUCAACCCAUGUACAGCUGCCACCCAA
rnacentral:antisense_RNA from 1 species